AGAAUCAACGCUGGCGGCGUGCCUCAGACAUGCAAGUCGAACGCGAAAGUUCCCUUCGGGGAACAAGUAGAGUGGCGCACGGGUGAGUAACACGUAGGUAAUCUACCUUUGGAUGGGGAAUAACAACCGGAAACGGUUGCUAAUACCGCAUGAUGCAGCGGCACCUAAUGGUGACAGUUGUUAAAAGCGGGGGAUCGAAAGACCUCGCGUCUGAAGAGGAGCCUGCGGCGGAUUAGCUAGUUGGUAAGGUAAUGGCUUACCAAGGCUACGAUCC
rnacentral:rRNA from 1 species